AAGAAGAGGACGCGAGGAGACCGUUGAUUUUGAGAUACUUGGAAAAGCCUGCUGAAGUGAAAGAGACCGUUUCAUAGUAAGUCAUGCGUGGUAGAGGCAGAACUCGCAGGUAUCAAAAUCUAGUAUCUUAAGCUCAUAAUACUCCUG